rnacentral:lncRNA from 1 species
GGGAGUUCAUCUUAGUUGAAAAUCAUCUAAUAAUAAUGCUCGAAUACUCGUUGAAGGCUCUGUAAAAGUGCAAACCAUAUUUAAAUCUUCAAUAGCCAUCUUCGCCAAGUAACCUUAUUUUUAUUCGUUAAAAUCUAGAUAAUUUGAAAUUUUUAAGGUUAUUUCAAGUUUAAUUUAAAUUUAUUUAUAUUUUUAAAUUAUCUUCCUUAAUGAUAAUACAUUCUCU